rnacentral:rRNA from 1 species
GUAAUCGCGGAUCAGCAUGCCGCGGUGAAUACGUUCCCGGGCCUUGUACACACCGCCCGUCACACCACGAGAGCUUGCAACACCCGAAGUCGGUGAGGUAACCCUUACGGGAGCCAGCCGCCGAAGGUGGGGCAAGUGAUUGGGGUGAAGUCGUAACAAGGUAGCCGUACCGGAAGGUGCGGCUGGAUCACCUCCUUUCU